CCUACGGGUGACAGCAGUGAGGAAUAUUGGUCAAUGGGCGCGAGCCUGAACCAGCCAAGUAGCGUGAAGGAUGACUGCCCUGCGGAUUGUAAACUUCUUUUAUAAAGGAAUAAAGUGAGGCACGUGUGCCUUUUUGUAUGUACUUUAUGAAUAAGGAUCGGCUAACUCCGUGCCAGCAUCCGCGGUAAUACGGAGGAUCCGAGCGUUUUCCGGAUUUAUUGGGUUUAAAGGGAGCGUAGAUGGGUUGUUAAGUCAGUUGUGAAAGUUUGCGGCUCAAACGUAAGAUUGCAAUUGAUACUGGCAGCCUUGAGUACAGGUGAGGUAGGCGGAAUUCGUGGUGUAGCGGUGAAAUGCUUAGAUAUCACGAAGAACUCCGAUUGCGAAGGCAGCCUACUAGACUGCCACUGACAUUGAUGCUCGAAAGUGUGGGUAUCAAACAGGAUUAGAUACCCGUGUAGUC
rnacentral:rRNA from 1 species